rnacentral:rRNA from 1 species
AACGAACGCUGGCGGCAUGCCUAACACAUGCAAGUCGAACGAGACCUUCGGGUCUAGUGGCGCACGGGUGCGUAACGCGUGGGAACCUGCCCUUAGGUUCGGAAUAACUCCCCGAAAGGGGUGCUAAUACCGGAUAAUGUCUUCGGACCAAAGAUUUAUCGCCUUUGGAUGGGCCCGCGUUGGAUUAGCUAGUUGGUAGGGUAAAAGCCUACCAAGGCGACGAUCCAUAGCUGGUCUGAGAGGAUGAUCAGCCACACUGGGACUGAGACACGGCCCAGACUCCUACGGGAGGCAGCAGUGGGGAAUAUUGGACAAUGGGCGAAAGCCUGAUCCAGCAAUGCCGCGUGAGUGAUGAAGGCCUUGGGGUUGUAAAGCUCUUUUACCCGGGAUGAUAAUGACAGUACCGGGAGAAUAAGCUCCGGCUAACUACGUG